UACAGAGGUCCCAAGCGUUGUUCGGAUUCAUUGGGCGUAAAGGGUGCGUAGGCGGCGCGGUAAGUCGGGUGUGAAAUCUCGGAGCUUAACUCCGAAACUGCAUUCGAUACUACCGUGCUUGAGGACUGGAGAGGAGACUGGAAUUUACGGUGUAGCGGUGAAAUGCGUAGAUAUCGUAAGGAAGACCAGUGGCGAAGGCGGGGUCUCUGGACAGUUCCUGACGCUGAGGCACGAAGGCCAGGGGAGCAAACGGG
rnacentral:rRNA from 1 species